CCUACGGGCGGCAGCAGUGGGGAAUAUUGGACAAUGGGGGCAACCCUGAUCCAGCCAUGCCGCGUGUGUGAAGAAGGCCCUCGGGUUGUAAAGCACUUUCAGUGAGGAAGAACGCCUGGUGGUUAAUACCCAUCAGGAAAGACAUCACUCACAGAAGAAGCACCGGCUAACUCCGUGCCAGCAGCCGCGGUAAUACGGAGGGGGCGAGCGUUAAUCGGAAUUACUGGGCGUAAAGCGCGCGUAGGUGGCUUGAUAAGCCGGUUGUGAAAGCCCCGGGCUCAACCUGGGAACGGCAUCCGGAACUGUCAAGCUAGAGUACAGGAGAGGAGGGUAGAAUUCCCGGUGUAGCGGUGAAAUGCGUAGAGAUCGGGAGGAAUACCAGUGGCGAAGGCGGCCUUCUGGACUGACACUGACACUGAGGUGCGAAAGCGUGGGUAGCAAACAGGAUUAGAUACCCGAGUAGUC
rnacentral:rRNA from 1 species